rnacentral:rRNA from 1 species
GAUGAACGCUGGCGGCGUGCCUAGUACAUGCAAGUCGAGCGAACGGACGAGAAGCUUGCUUCUCUGAUGUUAGCGGCGGACGGGUGAGUAACACGUGGAUAACCUACCUAUAAGACUGGGAUAACUUCGGGAAACCGUAGCUAAUACCGGAUAAUAUUUUGAACCGCAUGGUUCAAAAGUGAAAGACGGUCUUGCUGUCACUUAUAGAUGGAUCCGCGCUGCAUUAGCUAGUUGGUAAGGUAACGGCUUAUCAAGGCAACGAUGCAUAGCCGACCUGAGAGGGUGAUCGGCCACACUGGAACUGAGACACGGUCCAGACUCCUACGGGAGGCAGCAGUAGGGAAUCUUCCGCAAUGGGCGAAAGCCUGACGGAGCAACGCCGCGUGAGUGAUGAAGGUCUUCGGAUCGUAAAACUCUGUUAUUAGGGAAGAACAUAUGUGUAAGUAACUGUGCACAUCUUGACGGUACCUAAUCAGAAAGCCACGGCUAACUACGUG